rnacentral:rRNA from 1 species
UGGGGAAUAUUGCGCAAUGGGGGAAACCCUGACGCAGCAAUGCCGCGUGAAGGAUGAAGGUUUUCGGAUUGUAAACUUCUUUGAUCAGGGACGAAUAAAUGACGGUACCUGAAGAACAAGCCACGGCUAACUACGUGCCAGCAGCCGCGGUAAUACGUAGGUGGCAAGCGUUAUCCGGAUUUACUGGGUGUAAAGGGCGUGUAGGCGGGAUAGCAAGUCAGAUGUGAAAUACCGAGGCUCAACCUCGGGGCUGCAUUUGAAACUGUUAUUCUUGAGUGAUGGAGAGGAAAGCGGAAUUCCUAGUGUAGCGGUGAAAUGCGUAGAUAUUAGGAGGAACACCAGUGGCGAAGGCGGCUUUCUGGACAUUAACUGACGCUGAGGCGCGAAAGCGUGGGGAGCAAACA